GACGAACGCUGGCGGCGUGCCUAAUACAUGCAAGUCGAACGCUUUUUCUUUCACCGGAGCUUGCUCCACCGAAAGAAAAAGAGUGGCGAACGGGUGAGUAACACGUGGGUAACCUGCCCAUCAGAAGGGGAUAACACUUGGAAACAGGUGCUAAUACCGUAUAACACUAUUUUCCGCAUGGAAGAAAGUUGAAAGGCGCUUUUGCGUCACUGAUGGAUGGACCCGCGGUGCAUUAGCUAGUUGGUGAGGUAACGGCUCACCAAGGCAACGAUGCAUAGCCGACCUGAGAGGGUGAUCGGCCACACUGGAACUGAGACACGGCCCAGACUCCUACGGGAGGCAGCAGUAGGGAAUCUUCGGCAAUGGACGAAAGUCUGACCGAGCAACGCCGCGUGAGUGAAGAAGGUUUUCGGAUCGUAAAACUCUGUUGUUAGAGAAGAACAAGGAUGAGAGUAAAAUGUUCAUCCCUUGACGUAUCUACCAGAA
rnacentral:rRNA from 1 species